ACCGAGCAACGCCGCGUGAAUGACGAAGUACUUCGGUAUGUAAAGUUCUUUUAUCAAGGAAGAAAAGCAAAUGGCGAACCAUUUGUUUGCCGGUACUUGAUGAAUAAGCCCCGGCUAAUUAUGUGCCAGCAGCCGCGGUAAGACAUAAGGGGCAAGUGUUAUCCGGAAUUAUUGGGCGUAAAGGGUGCGUAGGCGGUCUAGUAAGUCAGUGGUGUAAUGGCAACGCUUAACGUUGUCCGGCUAUUGAAACUGCUAAACUUGAGUUAGAUAGAGGCGAGUGGAAUUCCAUGUGUAGCGGUAAAAUGCGUAAAUAUAUGGAGGAACACCAGAGGCGUAGGCGGCUCGCUGGGUCUUAACUGACGCUGAGGCACGAAAGCGUGGGGAGCAAACAGGAUUAGAUACCCUGGUAGUCCACGCCGUAAACGAUGAGUACUAAGUGUCGGGUUAAACCGGUACUGAAGUUAACACAUUAAGUACUCCGCCUGAGUAGUACGUACGCAAAGGUAUGAAACUUAAAGGAAUUGACGGGACUCCGCACAAGCGGUGGAUCAUGUUGUUUAAUUCGAAGAUACCCGAAAAACCUUACCAGGUCUUGACAUGUUUUUGCAAAAUGAUAGUAAUAUCGUGGAGGUUACCAGAAACACAGGUGGUGCAUGGUUGUCGUCAGCUCGUGUCGUGAGAUGUUAGGUUAAGUCCUAAAACGAGCGAAACCCUUAUCGUUAGUUGCCAGCACGUUAUGGUGGGGACUUUAACGAGACUGCCAAUGAUAAAUUGGAGGAAGGUGAGGAUCACGUCAAAUCAGCAUGCCCCUUAUGACCUGGCUACAACGUGAUACAAUGGCUGUACAAAGUAGCUGAAAGUUCUCCCCUUUC
rnacentral:rRNA from 1 species